rnacentral:rRNA from 1 species
UACGUAGGGGGCAAGCGUUGUCCGGAAUUAUUGGGCGUAAAGCGCGUGUAGGCGGCUCUGUAAGUCCGCUCUGAAAGCCCGGGGCUCAACCCCGGGAGGCGGGUGGAUACUGCUGGGCUCGAGUCCGGAAGAGGAGUGUGGAAUUCCUGGUGUAGCGGUGAAAUGCGCAGAUAUCAGGAGGAACACCGGUGGUGAAAACGGCUUUCUGGACCGUAACUGACGCUGAGACACGAAAGCGUGGGGAGCAAACAGG